GAUGAACGCUGGCGGCGUGCUUAACACAUGCAAGUCGAACGGUGAACGAGGGAGCUUGCUCCCUCCGGAUCAGUGGCGAACGGGUGAGUAACACGUGAGCAAUCUGCCCUGGACUCUGGGAUAAGCGUUGGAAACGACGUCUAAUACCGGAUACGAGACGCGAAGGCAUCUUCAGCGUCUGGAACGAACUUCGGUCCAGGAUGAGCUCGCGGCCUAUCAGGUAGUUGGUGAGGUAACGGCUCACCAAGCCUACGACGGGUAGCCGGCCUGAGAGGGUGACCGGCCACACUGGGACUGAGACACGGCCCAGACUCCUACGGGAGGCAGCAGUGGGGAAUAUUGCACAAUGGGCGCAAGCCUGAUGCAGCAACGCCGCGUGAGGGACGACGGCCUUCGGGUUGUAAACCUCUUUUAGCAGGGAAGAAGCGAAAGUGACGGUACCUGCAGAAAAAGCACCGGCUAACUACGUGCCAGCCGCCGCCGUAA
rnacentral:rRNA from 1 species